UGGCGACCAUAGCAAGAGUGAACCACCUGAUCCCUUCCCGAACUCAGAAGUGAAACCUCUUAGCGCUGAUGGUAGUGUGGGAUUACCCAUGUGAGAGUAAGUCAUCGCCAGCU
rnacentral:rRNA from 3 species